rnacentral:ncRNA from 1 species
UCCCGCGGCACUCCACUCUAUGUCGGGGAGGGGCAAAAAGAAAGGAGCAUACCGCUUUGUUCAGCGGUGCGGCAGUGUGGAGACCUGCCGUAAAGUCCGGCGGAUAUCGCUGCCGCCGGGCGAGACGGGGAGGCGGAGGCCGAACCGUUAUGAGCAAACAAGAUGGCA